AAUCUGUCUGUGGAUGAGAAAAAAAGUAGUUGUUGAAACCUCUGCGCUAUGACUUUGUCUAAAUAAUGUUUACUAGCAGUGAAAUUUUACGGUUUUUCACAGUUCUCCGUACCCCAUAGAUUUUCUUCGAGGUUAGAAAAAUCGGAAUGCCCUAAAUUCGCUCUGUUCGUUUUUCGGGUAUUCCGAAAUUGUAAAAGUUGCCUCAAAGUCCGUGGUCAAGUUCUGAAACUCGUAAAAAGCUACUUUUCAUCACCGUUCGGAGUGACGUAACGAUUUAUCGCCCAGAGAUUUUUGCGACGAAAGAAAAAAGUCUAUAUUUUUCACGGCGUAGGUCCUCGGAGUCGAAGUGGCCGAUACCGAUUGACGAGAUAUCGUUGUUGUUCCGCGAGGGGGAAAUCAACAAUCGAGAAAUUUCAAAGCCUGACAAUUGAGCUGGGGUGUUUUAAAAACACUUAAAUGCUCGACACGCGAAAUUCGCGCGUGCUUCGCCCGACGUAACACGCCCCAUCAGAGGGCGUAAACGACCCUUGGAUUACUCAAGAGCUUACAGAUGAGUCCCUUGAGAAUACUAAAUAUGUCCUACUUGAGUAACAAUCUUCUAAUAACAGGCUCUUAGCUUUCAACGAACUCGAGCACGAGGUAUGAGUUGCACCUGUUAAAAAGAACAUACAUAUAAUACAUAAAAAAAAUGAAAACAAAAGAGAGUUUGUUGAUCACUUCUGUUUUAGUUUGUUGGCAGAGUAGGUUCUUUCGAUUCUUUGGUGCGUCGAUUUCGAGUUUCGAGUUUUGUACGGUUUGUCCUAGCGAGACAAAAAUGUGCCAAGUCAUUCCGGGCGCGCGAUCCGAUCUAGAAAAUCGCUUACUGCCGUACGUUGAUCGCCGCUUAUCGGUCAUUAAACUACGUUCUCUUUACGGAUCGAUCGAACGAUCCGUGAUAGAAAACAUUCCCGUCGCACUUGAAUCGAAUAAAAAAUCUAAAUGUCGUAUAACUUUUGAUCGGUUCGUGUACUCGGUUCAACGACUAAGUAGAUGGAAUAUAAAGGUUUAUGGCAGCUUUCCUCGAAUCACUUCUCUUGAAUAUAGUUUCUAGAUCUCAGCAGAACGACAGCUGAUAACGUUCCUGUGCAGACUAAAAAUCUAUAAGAGUUUCCCCCUUCGCGUUGCCAAAAAACAAAAAACAAAAAAAAAAAAAAAAAUACAUCACAUAACAAAUGACGAAUAGGAGAGAAAAGAAUUCGGUUUGUAAACGAUCCAAUUUUCCUUUGUGCGGGGAUAUAUUCGCCGGGGAAUAUUGCAUGGCGAUGUGUAGUAUUAUUUCCUUGGGGCGCCUCCGAACCGCGGGUGGUAAAAAUAAGUUUCUAGCUCUUGGAACUUCUGCUAAAGUCGAAGAGCUCCGAGACAAGGAAAAGGAGAAGAUGUGGGGAGAAAUAACGAGAGCGGCUUCGAAUAAUAUUCUAUAUUUCGCAUUUACUUUCUCGUUAGGAAACCGUCGCGUUAUCUCCAACUCGCAACGUUAGAAACCCGUUCAGCCAAAAUAUAAAGUUUUCCCUUCGGGAAAAAAAAGAAGAGAGAAAAAACCAAAAAUGGAAAAAAAGAACACUAUCGCCCGGGGUCGUCUUCGGACGGGAUUACCAGAUCAGAGGUCUUCCCGGAGGCGAUCACCCGUCAACCCCUGGAAAAUGUGGGACCGCUAUACCGGAAGAUCUAAAGUAUCUGGAGCGCAUUUCCGUCGUUACGAAUGCAAGGAGAACGUAUAUCUAUGGGGUUAGGUUACGCGGGACACAAAGAAUAGUUGACAGCCGUGAAGUUAGCCCCCCCCCCCCCCCCCCCCCCCCGUCCCCAAUUUUUAGAAAAUCUAAAUUCUCUCGAUUGUUCCGAAUGGUUCCAUACAUUGUUCAAGAAAAUCAAUGUUUAGUGUGAACUAGGAUCCCAUGAAAUAAAAAAAAAAAGAUUCAACGACCUUUCCCCCCAGUUUUCGAAAAUUUGAAUUUUUUCUAUCGUUUCAGCUGGGCAUGGGGUGUUCCGAUUCGAGCGAACGAGCGCGAUUAAUAUUUCGAAAACGAUUCCUCGUCUCACUCGAACCCUCCGUCGCGGUUGCGUUUCGAUGCCGUGACAAUAUGAAAGGUCAAACGUCAUUUACAAUUAGAUUCGGAUAGGAAGCGAAUUUUUGGGAGGUGGCGCCGCCGCGACGAUCGGCUAAUCAAAUGUUCGCUCGAGUUCGUACGCCCCGUGGAGAAUUUCGAAACCGUUUUGACGCGAGCGACGAUAUUCCAACUCACCAGAAAAGUGCUUUUCCGGACCCGUGCGGUAAUGGAGAGGGUCAGGUGGGUCGAGAUCGUGCGCCGAAGGUGUAUCGCCCCUAAGAAUAACAAUGGAAGAGACAAAAUAACCGACCCCCAAGUUACACACGAGGGUGAAAUAUAUGGCCGGUUUUACGCGCUCACCGGGAGUUAAUAACUUUACGCGCGUUACGAGGGAUGUACGUACGUACACCGCGUUAGGAUGGCUGAAGCAAAAAAAUUUCUAAAUUUCUAAAUUUUAUUACCAGCUUGUUACCAGAAAACUGUAAAGCCACCGCCUGAGGUAAUUCGAGCCUCGCACGGACACACCCUCAGGGUUUUCAAGGAGUUUCGCUAAACGCAAAAAACUUUGACAAGUCCUUUUCGCGGAAUUAUUCAUUCGAAGCGGUGUCACGUGUGUGUGGAUUAGAAGCGAACAUUUCGCGUUUUUCGGGGCUUUCUUCGGGCAUAUUUUUUGACGGCUUAAAAUGUCCGGUUCCCCCAACCCCUUUCCCUUGCAAAACAAAAGAAAAAAUAAAAUAACAUAACCAAAAAAAAAAAAAAAA